UGAGCCUGUUAUUGCUGUGAAUAUCCCGGAAGGGUCCCGGCCGCCGGGCGGAUGCCUGGCUGUAGGGAGAACCCGGGGCUUCGGAGUCAAGACGCCUGGGGUCUGUUUGUAGUGUAGCCACUGAUUCAGCCUGUAAUUAUUUCUAGUCAUUCAUUUACAUACGUAGAUCACCAAUCCCCACGCUAAAGGUGGGGAACGGCAUGGUGAGCAGGGAAACUGAGUCACUGGACACCUAAGCGAAGAUGCGUUUGACAAAGGUUGACACCUUAUCCGAAUUCUCGUUGAACUGGAAAGGCCAGCAUGAGUGGGGUGAGAAAGACGCCCAGAACCAGGCAGAAACCAGGCCCAGAAGAAAAAGCAGGCACUUCCUGACCGCCCUGGACACUAACCUGUACUAGCCAGGAGCAGCAGGCAGCGUCCACGCAGCAGAAAGAACCUCUCCUGGAAGCGGCUUCCCAGCAAGCGAGGCGGCUCCUCACGACACCGUAACAGCCCCACCCGUGGGCUCUCACGACGGAUCCCUGAUACAGAAGGGUGGACUGAGGUGAUGAAGGACCAUGGAGGAAGACUGCAGAGGGAGUGAGUGAACUGACCGAUAGAGAUGCCCGAUGAGGGUGGCCAGCGUACGGCGGUUGACCCGAGGCAGGCAGGCAAUCAC